UGCGUAGGCGGGGCAAUUAGUCAGUGGUGAAAUCCUGCGGCUUAACCGUAGAACUGCCAUUGAUACUGUUGUCCUUGAGUAUAGUUGAGGUGGGCGGAAUGUGUAAUGUAGCGGUGAAAUGCAUAGAGAUUACACAGAACACCAAUUGCGAAGGCAGCUCACUAAGCUAUAACUGACGCUGAGGCACGAAAGCGUGGGGAGCGAACAGGAUUAGAUACCCUGGUAGUC
rnacentral:rRNA from 1 species